rnacentral:rRNA from 1 species
UGAACGCUGGCGGUAGGCCUAACACAUGCAAGUCGAACGGCAGCACAGUAAGAGCUUGCUCUUACGGGUGGCGAGUGGCGGACGGGUGAGGAAUACAUCGGAAUCUACUUUUUCGUGGGGGAUAACGUAGGGAAACUUACGCUAAUACCGCAUACGACCUACAGGUGAAAGCAGGGGAUCUUCGGACCUUGCGCGAUUGAAUGAGCCGAUGUCGGAUUAGCUAGUUGGCGGGGUAAAGGCCCACCAAGGCGACGAUCCGUAGCUGGUCUGAGAGGAUGAUCAGCCACACUGGAACUGAGACACGGUCCAGACUCCUACGGGAGGCAGCAGUGGGGAAUAUUGGACAAUGGGCGCAAGCCUGAUCCAGCCAUACCGCGUGGGUGAAGAAGGCCUUCGGGUUGUAAAGCCCUUUUGUUGGGAAAGAAAAGCAGCAGGUUAAUACCCCGCUGUUCUGACGGUACCCAAAGAAUAAGCACCGGCUAACUUCGUG